GACGAACGCUGGCGGCGUGCUUAACACAUGCAAGUCGUACGGUCAGGUCCUUUCGGGGUCACACGAGUGGCGAACGGGCGAGUAACACGUGAGUAACCUGCCCACAACUUUGGGACAUCGCUAUAAAACUGGUGCUAAUACUGGAAAUGUGCUUCUUCUGCAUUGUGGGGGUUGGAAAGCUCCGGCGGGUGUGGAUGUACUCGUGGCCUAUCUGCCUGAUGGUGGGGUAGUGGCCUACCAAGGCGGCGACGGGUAGCCGGGCUGAGAGGGUGACCGGCCACAUUGGGGCUGAGAUACGGCCCAGACGCCUACGGGAGGAAGCAGUGGGGAAUAGUGCACGAUGGGCGCAGGCCCGAUGCAGCAACGCUGCGUGCGUGAUGACGGCCUUCGGGUUGUAACCCGCUUUAAGCAGGGACGAAGCUUUUUGUGACGGUACCUGCAGAAGAAGCGCCGGCUAACUACGUG
rnacentral:rRNA from 1 species